rnacentral:piRNA from 1 species
UUUGUGAGAGCAGAGAUGGCAAGCAC